GAUGAACGCUGGCGGCGUGCCUAACACAUGCAAGUCGAGCGAUUCACUUCGGUGAAGAGCGGCGGACGGGUGAGUAACGCGUGGGUAACCUGCCCUAUACACACGGAUAACAUACCGAAAGGUAUGCUAAUACGGGAUAAUGUAAGAGAUUCGCAUGGAUUUCUUAUCAAAGCUUUUGCGGUAUAGGAUGGACCCGCGUCUGAUUAGCUAGUUGGUAAGGUAAUGGCUUACCAAGGCGACGAUCAGUAGCCGACCUGAGAGGGUGAUCGGCCACAUUGGAACUGAGACACGGUCCAAACUCCUACGGGAGGCAGCAGUGGGGAAUAUUGCACAAUGGGCGAAAGCCUGAUGCAGCAACGCCGCGUGAGCGAUGAAGGCUUUCGGGUCGUAAAGCUCUGUCCUCAAGGAAGAUAAUGACGGUACCUGAAGAAGAAGCCCCGGCUAAAUACGUGCCAGCCGC
rnacentral:rRNA from 1 species